rnacentral:sRNA from 1 species
UACCUUCAAGUCAUGAUCAGUGUUGU